rnacentral:lncRNA from 1 species
UUGUUUUUUGUUUUUUUGGUACUGGGGAUCGAACUCAGGUCCUUGCGCUUGAUUUCUCUUGUUUCUUUAGAAAAGCAGUAACUCUCACUCAUAGACUUGAAGGCACAGAUGUAGUGGGCUCUUUGGUUAUGGUUUGUUUUUGGUUUUGGAAAUAAGUGCUAGGUAGCAGAUCUUGACAGUUAUUUCUUGUAGAACAUUGGGAAAUAAAAAUGGCCAUUUCCUAUGUGUUCAAUACAGCGUCUCAUUUUAGGCCUUUUCCAGGAGACUGCUAAAUGACAGGGCAAAGAUUUCAUACUCAUUCUUUCUGUGACUGCAAAGAAUUACAAAUUUGUAGCAAUGAACAGAUUUGUAUUUGUGCAGUGGGUGGCAUAACUAUGAAGAAAAUGAAUGGCAACUGUGAUGUUACCUUUGUUUCCUAGAAACUCCUCACAUACUACAUGUGACAGGUGACUUCUGACACAGUGUCCGAGUGACCAUGCCAGGUCAUUCAUAUGAGGAAAGCUUAGGACUCUGCAGAUGAAUCCUUUCCCUCCGCCUACAUCCUGUGUGGUAGUAGUGGGGAUCGAACUUGGGUCCUUGUGCUUGAGCAGCAGCAGCAGCACCAGAAAAAAGAAGAAGAAGAGGAGGAGGAGGAGGAGGAGCAAGAAGAAGAAGGAGGAGAAGAAGAAGAAGAGGAAGAAGAAAGAAGAGGAGGAGGAAGCAGAAGAAGCAACUUUUCAAUUGUGGGCAGAAAUCCCAAGACCAAACUGGUUGUUUCUUCUAGAAAGAUGACUCUUUAAGUUAUUAUCAUUCUCCUUCCAGGGUGCUGUUCAGGGACAGGCCUGGCAAAAUAAAACUGCUACUGGAGAGAUUGUGCCUCUGUUUACUAGGGGUCAUUUUGGUUUGGUGGGGGUUUUUUGGCACUGGAGAUGGGACUUGGGACCCUGUGCUCGCGAGGCAGGCAGCGGAACCACUGAGCUAAAUCCCUGGCCCUGGUUGUUUUGUUUUUGAAACAGAGUCUGGCUGAGUUAUCCAGGCUAGCUUGGAGCUCUCUACACUC